AGCGAACGCUGGCGGCAUGCUUAACACAUGCAAGUCGCACGGGCAGCAAUGUCAGUGGCGGACGGGUGAGUAACGCGUAGGUAUCUAUCCUUGGGUGGGGGACAACUGUGGGAAACUACAGCUAAUACCGCAUGACAACUGAGGUUUAAAGGCGCAAGUCGCCUGGGGAGGAGCCUGCGUACGAUUAGCUAGUUGGUGGGGUAAAGGCCUA
rnacentral:rRNA from 1 species